rnacentral:piRNA from 1 species
UUGGCCUAUUGUGCUGUGCCUGCCUCUU